UACGAGAGGCCCAACCGUUAAUCGGAAUUACUGGGCGUAAAGCGUGCGCAGGCGGUUUUGUAAGUCUGUCGUGAAAGCCCCGGGCUCAACCUGGGAAUUGCGAUGGAGACUGCAAGGCUUGAAUCUGGCAGAGGGGGGUAGAAUUCCACGUGUAGCAGUGAAAUGCGUAGAGAUGUGGAGGAACACCGAUGGCGAAGGCAGCCCCCUGGGUCAAGAUUGACGCUCAUGCACGAAAGCGUGGGGAGCAAACAGG
rnacentral:rRNA from 1 species